rnacentral:rRNA from 1 species
UACAGAGGGUGCGAGCGUUGUUCGGAAUUAUUGGGCGUAAAGCGCUUGUAGGCGGCACGUCAAGUCGCGUGUGGAAUCCCCAGGCUUAACCUGGGAAGUGCGCGCGAAACUGACGAGCUUGAGUGCCGGAGAGGGUCGCGGAAUUCCCGGUGUAGAGGUGAAAUUCGUAGAUAUCGGGAGGAACACCAGUGGCGAAGGCGGCGACCUGGACGGACACUGACGCUGAGACGCGAAAGCGUGGGGAGCAAACAGG